rnacentral:rRNA from 1 species
UACGUAGGUGGCAAGCGUUGUCCGGAUUUACUGGGCGUAAAGGGGCGCGUAGGCGGCAAUUCAAGUCAGUUGUGAAAUCUCCGAGCUUAACUCGGAACGGUCAACUGAUACUGCUUUGCUAGAGUACAGAAGGGGCAAUCGGAAUUCUUGGUGUAGCGGUGAAAUGCGUAGAUAUCAAGAGGAACACCUGAGGUGAAGACGGGUUGCUGGGCUGAUACUGACGCUGAGGCGCGAAAGCUAGGGUAGCAAACGGG